rnacentral:lncRNA from 1 species
UUUUGCUUAUUUUGAAAGAGGACUCUAUACAAUUUCUUCUUGCCACUUGCCAUUAUAUUACAGAAAGUGUUGACAUAACAUGUUGAUCUUUGGAUGGGAUAGUAAACAAGCUGUAAAAAUAAUUACAUGUAGGUAAAAUAAUGUAUAUAGCAAAGAAUAUCAUUUUUAGGUAAAAUAGAUACCAUGGAAUUUGGAAUUUUCUAAAAUAGUCCAAUAACUUUCUUUGGAUAUAGAUUACUUUCUUGCAAAUAAUUCUCAUGCUCUGGCUUAAAAAAAUUAACUUCUCUUAAUUUUGUAUUUUGCAAAAAUUUUAGUGAAAGUAGAUAAAAUUGUCUAUUGUCUAUCCAAAUGUUACAGAUCUAUAUAUUAAUAGAUUAAAAUUUGAGAUCAUUUUCCU